rnacentral:rRNA from 1 species
CGACCGGCGCACGGGUGAGUAACGCGUAUGCAACCUGCCCGUUUCAGCGGGAUAACCCGGAGAAAUCUGGCCUAAUACCGCAUGUGGCCGAGGGGAGGCAUCUUCUUUCGGCCAAAGGAGGCGACUCCGGAGACGGAUGGGCAUGCGUGACAUUAGCUAGUUGGCGGGGUAACGGCCCACCAAGGCGACGAUGUCUAGGGGUUCUGAGAGGAAGGUCCCCCACACUGGUACUGAGACACGGACCAGACUCCUACGGAAGGCAGCAG